ACCGGUCCACAGACCUGUCGGGAGGACCAAGCCCAGAUGCCCUUUUCUGAGUAAUUCCAGCGUCCGAUGACUUCUGGGCGACGGCCGCAGCCACUUGUUUUGGAUCUUUCUGGCACCUUCUCUAUUAUUACGCCUGCGUCACCUCGCUCCUCCUCUUUCGCCCAACUCGCGCAGGUGCGACCGCCACGCCCCUACAGCGCAAGCGCAGAAUCAGACCUCAAGCUCCACCCCUUCCAGGACUCCAGAUCCGCCCCUAACCCAAGCGUCCGGACUCUCCCUUGCUGCGCUUGCGCAAGAGCAAAACCUCGCUGUGUCUUGCUCUUGAUGGUGGUUUCAGGCUCGGUGUGUGUCCCCUGAAUCCUAUGACACGACCUGGUGGAAUUACUCAUCCCACAGACUACCUCUUCCUCCUGAUCACGUCCUAGACACCCACAUUACCAGUGCCAACAGCUGUCAGCGCAAAGUAAACCAGUCACGAGGGUCCCGACUCCCUGGAGCGCUCAAGGCUCAUAAUCAGGACUUGUAAUACAGUAUGCCCCAUUCUGGUGGCAACCAGAAACCUACAACUCAACUCUGCUGUCUCAGAUCCUACAUGGAAAUUCUUGCUCAUACAGCUCCCCAGCCCCAAUUUAUAAAUUCUCCAGUCGCAAGCAGCAGAAUGAUACCUCUUCCCAAAUCUCAAUAGACCUUGCCACCCCCUGUGUGCAGCACAUUCCGAAGACGUCCAUCAGCACCUCCUAUCAUAGACACCACACCCACGGUUAGAACAGCCUUUGUACAAUCGCUUCUGAGCCCUCUUGAGUCUUGGAGCCACCCAGAUGCCCCUCCUAACCUGCACCUAUGAAAGCAAUCCUGUCACAGAAGUGGAGGCUAGGGUGUCUUCAUGUCCCCUACACGAGGCCUUGAGCGUGACGGUCGCUCCUCCUCCCCCACUUAGGUGACUCAAGGUCAGGGCCAGCACGUGCCUAAGACAGGUCUCUUCUAGGACUGGUUUCCACCCCCGGAAUUGUCUCCCUAAGGGGCGGGAGGCUCUGGCUCAAUGCUGGCUGUUUGUUUCCCUUUUCUGGGCCUUAGCUUUUCCACCUGUGAAACGGAUGGCAGUGGAGUCCACGGUAUGGGCUCUCUGUGUGAAUAUCAUUGAAUCAGACAAAGAAUGGGAGGAAGGGGAAAGCUAUUUAUAAACGGUAAAGCUUC
ensembl:antisense 4933430L12Rik RIKEN cDNA 4933430L12 gene